ensembl:lncRNA
AGUUCUUCCUGCCCUCCUAUGAGAGAUCCCGCUUGGGGCAGUGACCUCAGACCUACUGGCACAUGAAUUCAACUCUGCUCUUUAGUCUUUAACAAACAUUUAUUGUAUACCUUGGGGCUUCCCUGAUGGCUCAAAUGGUAAAGAAUCUUCCUACAAUGCAGGAGACCUGGGCUCUAUCCCUGGGUGGGGAAGAUCCCCUGGAGAAAGUGAAUGGCUACCCACUCCAGUAUUCUUGCCUGGAGAAUUCCACGGACAGAGGAGCCUACUGUGUGGCAGGUCCGGUGUGACUGAGUUGAUGCUGGCAUAGCUCCUGCCCUCAAGGAACUCACUGACUGGCAGGGGUGGUGUGACUGGCACUGAAGGAGUCACGGGAUAUAAGUUAGUGCAGGGAUGCAGGCGCCUGCCUCAUCCAGCCUGGGGACAGGGGAAGCUUCUGGAGGAGAUGCCAGAGCUGGAUCUUGACGACGAGGAGAGGAGAGCCUGAAGGGGCAUGAAACGAUACACCUGGCUUUACUAAAGACACUAAUGGCCAGGGAGGCCCAGGGUCAGUUCCCCGGAGGAGCACAGACAGGCUGCCAGCGCACAGGUCUCCUGGGCACCAACUCACAGUGGCCUAAACCAAACAGUGAAUGAAGCAUUUGCUCCGGGGAGAUGGCCUGCAGCGUUCCUCCACCCUCAAGACCUGAGCGGCUCCUCAAGAAAUGCUUUCCCUGGGCUCUCAUUGGCUAGGAGCAACAGGAAGCGGACGGGGGAAAGCGGCGUCCUCCCCAGCGGCCCCAUCCCAGGAGCCGCGGCUCCUGCAAUCCUCAGCGCUCCCCGGCCGGGGCUGGGCCGACCGGCCGGCGGCACCCUCCGGAUCCGACGCGGCCCUCCGGAUCCCAGCGGGCCAAGAGGAGGUGCAUCCAGACCCAUGACACACGCCCGCGGCCAGGUGGCUGACCCCGGGGGAAGCCGCGAGCGGCGGCGCGCUCCCCUCGGGCGUCCGCGGACCCGCCCCUCGUGCUCCCACUCUCCGCUGGAUUUCUCCUCUCCCUUAAGCUGCCUGUCUGCCUUCUCCGGCUGCAUGCCGUCUCUGUGUCCGAGUCCGGGUCUCUCAAACUCUCCGCCUCUCGGGGAGCUGGACUCGAGCCGCCCGAGAAGCCUCAUUUAUCCUCCCAUCCCCCUGCCAAAUCCUGUCGGCGCUCCGCCC